CCCACAAUGAUAGUGAUGGUGGCCAUGGUGGCCAACAUGCCACCCAUUAAUUGUCUAGCUGGAGUGAUGCCGUCUGGGCCCAGAGAGUCCCUCACCCAGUGCCCUCCUCACAGAUAAGCUUCAUGCUGUGCGUCACUCCAAAAGGGCAUCUAUGAGUGAUACCAUCUAAAGAAAUGGGUAGAAUCUUAGUCUUAGGUCCUGAGAUGAGCAGCGGCAGAUUGGACUUGAGGACAUGGAUUCUGAGACAGAUGCAGCGCCUGAUGUAAGCCCAGGCUCCCAGUACAGCUACAAGGUGACACCCCAUGUGACAGAGAUGAGCGCUGAGACAGCCCAGAAGCAGGGGAUCCUUCUGGCUAGGUUUGGUUCUAGGAGAACUGAGGUUGUUCUGCCUGACAGGGGCUCGAGCCCAUUGGGGAUGAGUAGAGAAUCACAGCAGAGGGGACUGGCAUCUUCUCACCCUGUCUUAGAAGGCAGGUUUUCAAUGGUGACAUCCUGUGGUAACAAGAAGCAACUGUCACGAAAUGCUCAUCAGACUGAGCGAGCUCCACAGGAUGGGAGGAAGCUGAAAUAACCACCCACUGGGACUGUGUAAGCCCCACUGAGAGGAGAGGGAUCCCCAAGAGAGAGAAACUUCGCUUCAUGCCAGUCGAGGAACACAGACUGAGGCACCUUGCCUGGCCUUAAAAUCUGGCUUUGCUGUUCCCUUGCCACGUGCCCUUUAAGAUACAACUGAACCUAAUUGUAUCCCGAGGUCCCCUUCUGGAAAACAAGGAUGAUAACACAAUACAUGUCACAGAUUUGUGGUGAAGAUUAAAUGGAUUAAAA